rnacentral:rRNA from 1 species
UACGGAGGGAGCUAGCGUUGUUCGGAAUUACUGGGCGUAAAGCGCGCGUAGGCGGCUUUGUAAGUUAGAGGUGAAAGCCCGGAGCUCAACUCCGGAACUGCCUCUGAUACAGCACGUCUUGAGUUCGAGAGAGGUGGGUGGAAUUCCUAGUGUAGAGGUGAAAUUCGUAGAUAUUAGGAAGAACACCGGUGGCGAAGGCGGCCCACUGGCUCGAUACUGACGCUGAGGUGCGAAAGCGUGGGGAGCAAACAGG